rnacentral:rRNA from 1 species
UACGUAGGUGGCGAGCGUUGUCCGGAAUUACUGGGUGUAAAGGGCGUGUAGGCGGGAAUGUAAGCCAGAUGUGAAAUCCCAGAGCUUAACUCUGGAGCUGCGUCUGAAACUAUGUAUCUUGAGUGCCGGAGAGGAAAGCGGAAUUCCUAGUGUAGCGGUGAAAUGCGUAGAUAUUAGGAGGAACACCAGUGGCGAAGGCGGCUUUCGGGACGGUAACUGACGCUGAGGCGCGAAAGCGUGGGGAGCAAACAGG